rnacentral:tRNA from 1 species
UUCGCUUACACCGAAAAACUAUCCGUGCAAAUCAGAUCAUUUUGAGCCUAAAAUCUA